UUCUAACCGUAAACGAUGACAACCAGCGAUUAAUCGGCGUUAAUAUAUGACCCGAUUAGCAGCUUCCGGGAAACCAAAGUUUUUCGUUUCCGGGGGAAGUAUGGUUGCAAAGCUGAAACUUAAAGGAAUUGACGGAAGGGCACCACCAGGAGUGGAGCCUGCGGCUUAAUUUGACUCAACACGGGAAAACUCACCCGGCCCGGACACCGUAAGGAUUGACAGACUGAGAGCUCUUUCUUAAUUCGGUGGGUGGUGGUGCAUGGCCGUUCUUAGUUGGUGGAGCGAUUUGUCUGGUUAAUUCCGAUAACGAACGAGACUCUGGCCUAUUAAAUAGACGAUAUAUUUCAAAGUAUAUCGCGCUUCUUAGAGGGACAAGCGGCGUCUAGCCGCAUGAAAUAGAGCAAUAACAGGUCUGUGAUGCCCUUAGAUGUCCGGGGCUGCACGCGCGCUACACUGAAAGAAUCAGUGUGCGUUAUACCUAGUUCGGAAGAACCGGGUAACCCAAGUAAAUUCUUUCGUGCUUGGGAUAGGGAAUUGCAAUUAUUUCCCUUAAACGAGGAAUUCCCAGUAAAUGCGGGUCAUAAGCUCGCGUUG
rnacentral:rRNA from 1 species